GUUGGUAAGGUAACGGCUUACCAAGGCGACGAUCAGUAGCCGACGUGAGAGGGUGAUCGGCCACAUUGGAACUGAGACACGGUCCAAACUCGACGGGAGGCAGCAGUGGGGAAUAUUGCACAAUGGGCGAAAGCCUGAUGCAGCAACGCCGCGUGAGCGAUGAAGGCCUUCGGGUCGUAAAGCUCUGUCCUCAAGGAAGAUAAUGACGGUACUUGAGGAGGAAGCCCCGGCUAACUACGUGCCAGCAGCCGCGGUAAUACGUAGGGGGCUAGCGUUAUCCGGAAUUACUGGGCGUAAAGGGUGCGUAGGUGGUUUCUUAAGUCAGAGGUGAAAGGCUACGGCUCAACCGUAGUAAGCCCUUGAAACUGGGAAACUUGAGUGCAGGAGAGGAGAGUGGAAUUCCUAGUGUAGCGGUGAAAUGCGUAGAUAUUAGGAGGAACACCAGUUGCGAAGGCGGCUCUCUGGACUGUAACUGACACUGAGGCACGAAAGCGUGGGGAGCAAACAGGAUUAGAUACCCUGGUAGUCCACGCCGUAAACGAUGAGUACUAGCUGUCGGAGGUUACCCCCUUCGGUGGCGCAGCUAACGCA
rnacentral:rRNA from 1 species